AGGCUUGGGCGGCGGGCCUACACAUGCAAGUCGAGCGGUAACAGGGGAAGCUUGCUUCUCGCUGACGAGCGGCGGACGGGUGAGUAAUGUAUGGGGAUCUGCCCGAUAGAGGGGGAUAACUACUGGAAACGGUGGCUAAUACCGCAUAAUCUCUAAGGAGCAAAGCAGGGGAACUUCGGUCCUUGCGCUAUCGGAUGAACCCAUAUGGGAUUAGCUAGUAGGUGAGGUAAUGGCUCACCUAGGCGACGAUCCCUAGCUGGUCUGAGAGGAGUGAUCCACGCCACCAUCUGGGACUGUAGAUUCACGGCCCAGAUCUCUCUCUCUGAGUAGUGCAGCGAGUGUGGAGUCAUGUGUCACAAUCGUGGCGCAAUCGUCGGCUGACAAGAUGCAGCGAUGCGGCGUAGUAUCGCACGAAGGUCCUUCACGGGUAAUGUAUCACUUACUUUCAGUCGGGAUGUAUGCUGUUGAAUGCUCAAUCUUCAUUGAGCUGAUUCGACGUUGCCGAACAGAAAGAAGCACUUUGCUUAUCUCCGUAGCCAGCAGCUGCGGUAAUAUGGUCGGGUGCCUAGCGUUAAUCGGAAUUACUGGGCGUAAAGCGCACGCGGGCGGUUGAUUAAGUUAGAUGUGAAAUCCCCUGGCCUUGACCUGGGCAUGGGCAUCUAAGACUGGUCAGCUAGAGUCUUGUAGAGGGGGGGUAGAAUUCCAUGUGUAGCGGUGAAAUGCGUAUAGAUGUGGAGGAGGAUACCGGUGGGGAUAGGCCGGACGCCCGUUUGGACACCACGACUGACUCUCAGGUGCGAAAUGCGUGGUGGACGCAGAGGGGAUUACGAUCCCCCGUGUGUAGUCCACGCUCGUAUCUACGCCAUGUCGAUUUGCGAGGUUCGUUCGGCUAUAGGAGUGGCUUCCGGGAGCUAACGCGUUGGCUCGACCAGCCUGAGAUGGCGAUUCCCGGGUGCAAGGGCUUAGUACUCACAUGUAUUAGUGGAGGGGACCCGCACAAGCGGUGGCUGUAUCCGUGGUUUAAUUCCGAUGCACCGUGAGGACACCCUUACACUACUCUUGACUUCCAGAGACAGUUAUGCAGACGAUGCUUUGGUGCCUUCGGGACCUCUGAGACAUGUGCUGCAUGGCUACGUCGUCAGCUCGUGUUGUGAAAUGUUGGGUUAAGUCACUCGGGCAACUAGUGCAACCUUGCUGUCCUUUGUUCGCCAGUUCGAUGAUCGUGUCGGGAACUCAGAGUGAGACUUAUCACGGUGGCUUCAAACCGGAGGAAGGUGGGGAUGACGUCAAGUCAUCAUGGCCCUUACGUGUAGGGCUACACACGUGGGAUAAUGGCGUAUACAAAGAGAAGCGACACGCGAGAGCAAUCGGAACUCAUAAAGUACGUCGUAGUCCGGACUGGAGUUCGUAACUGGACUCCAUGAGGUCGGAAUCGGUAGUAGCCACAGUUCCCAGUAGUAAUCCCCAUAUGUUCCGCAGCCCCCACACACCACCCACCACACCAUGGCUCGUGGGUUGAAAAAGAAGUAGCCCGCUUGACCUCCGUGAGGGCGCUUACUCACUUGUGUUGAUGC
rnacentral:rRNA from 1 species